AAAGUGAUCUAGUGCGAAUUCCCGUUUCCUCACACAUUUUACACGUUUCCUUGAUAUGGAUUUGUAUAAUGCCACACGUAUAUAGUAUAUCAUUUUUAUCUGUAAUAAAACUACAAAAUCCAUUUGAUUAGGUAAUAAAAAAAAUAUUAGUAUUUAUCAGUAUAGUGUAUGGGCCAAAACUAUUUUAACUUUUUUAACAACUCUCAUCUUUAAAUCUAUAUAUUACGCAUAAAGCACUUCAUUUGUAUAAAAUGUGGAAUUAUCUAACUGCAGUUUGGUUAUAGUGCGAAUAUUGAACGAUAUUCUGUUAUGGAUAUAUAUAUGUGUUGCAUGGAUGGAUCAGCAUAUGAAAUUAAAUUUGAUUUUUUG
rnacentral:misc_RNA from 1 species